GACGGAGGAUGCAAGUGUUAUCCGGAAUCACUGGGCGUAAAGCGUCUGUAGGUGGUUUAAUAAGUCAACUGUUAAAUCUUGAGGCUCAACCUCAAAAUCGCAGUCGAAACUAUUAGGCUAGAGUAUAGUAGGGGUAAAGGGAAUUUCCAGUGGAGCGGUGAAAUGCGUAGAGAUCGGGAAGAACAUCGGUGGCGAAAGCGCUCUACUGGACCGCAACUGACACUCAGGGACGAAAGCUAGGGGAGCGAAUGGG
rnacentral:rRNA from 1 species